UUUCGAUGGUAGGAUAGUGGCCUACCAUGGUUUCAACGGGUAACGGGGAAUUAGGGUUCUAUUCCGGAGAGGGAGCCUGAGAAACGGCUACCACAUCCAAGGAAGGCAGCAGGCGCGCAAAUUACCCAAUCCCGACACGGGGAGGUAGUGACAAUAAAUACUGAUACAGGGCUCUUUUGGGUCUUGUAAUUGGAAUGAGUACAAUUUAAAUCCCUUAACGAGGAACAAUUGGAGGGCAAGUCUGGUGCCAGCAGCCGCGGUAAUUCCAGCUCCAAGAGCGUAUAUUAAAAUUGUUGUGGUUAAAAAGCUCGUAGUUGUAUUUCAGAAAUUUUGGCGUGAGUUACUAGGAUUCUGGUAGUUUCGUCAUUUUCUAUCUUUAUAUAUGACUUGUAAAAAGGUUAUAUAUAUAGUUUACUUUGAAAAAAUUAGAGUGUUCAAAGCAGGCACGCGCCAAUUGAAUAUUUUAGCAUGGGACAAUAGAAUAAGACAAUAGCUCUCAUUUUGUUGGUUCAGUUAGCUAUUGUAAUGAUUGACAGGGACAGUUGGGGUUACUUUAUUCAAUCGGGAAGGGUGAAAUCUUAUGAUCGAUUGAAGACAAACUAUUGCGAAAGCAUUUAACAAGGAUGUUUUCAUUAAUCAAGAACGAGAGUUGAGGGAUCGAAGAUGAUCAGAUACCGUUGUAGUCUCAACUGUAAACUAUGUCGACUCAGGAUUGGAAGAUAUUACAUGGAUGAUUCUUUCAGCACUGAAUGAGAAAUUAAAGUACCUAGACUCCAGGGGGAGUAUGGUCGCAAGGCUGAAACUUAAAGGAAUUGACGGAAGGCCACCACCAGGAGUGGAAUCUGCGGCUUAAUUUGACCCAACACGGGGAAACUUACCGGGUCCGGACACUACGAGGAUUGACAGAUUGAGAGCUCUUUCUUGAUUUAGUGAUUGGUGGUGCAUGGCCGUUUUUAGUUGGUGGAUUGAUUUGUCUGGUUAAUUCCGAAAACGAACGAGAUCUUAACCAUUAAAUAUGUUACGUUAAUAUGGUUGAAAGACCAAAUAUUUGACAUGAAAACUUCUUAAAGGGACUAUUUGCAUUUUAGUGAAUGGAAGUUUGAGGCAAAAACAGGUCUGUGAUGCCCUUCGAUGUUCCGGGCUGCACGCGCGUUACACUGAUUUGUUCAGUAAGUAAUUCCUUAUUCAAACGGAUAUGGUAAUCUUUGAAAAACAAAUCGUGAUUGGGAUAAAGCCUUGUAAUUAUUGCUUUUGAACGAGGAAUUCCUAGUAGGGACAGUUCAUCAAACUGUCUCGAAUAUGUCCCUGGCCUUUGUACACACCGCCCGUCGCUCCUACCGAUUGAAUAACCCGAUGAGAAUUCAGGAUAGAUUAGUCCUCUAAUGCCUGAAAGGGUAUUGGGAAUAAUUUAGAAUUUAUUCAAAUCUUAUUAUUUAGAGGAAGGAGAAGUCGUAACAAGGUU
rnacentral:rRNA from 1 species